GACAGCAGCAGCCGCGGUAAUACGGAGGGUGCAAGCGUUAAUCGGAAUUACUGGGCGUAAAGCGCACGCAGGCGGUCUGACAAGUCAGAUGUGAAAUCCCCGGGCUUAACCUGGGAACUGCAUUUGAAACUGUCAGGCUGGAGUCUUGUAGAGGGGGGUGGAAUUCCAGGUGUAGCGGUGAAAUGCGUAGAGAUCUGGAGGAAUACCGGUGGCGAAGGCGGCCCCCUGGACAAAGACUGACGCUCAGGUGCGAAAGCGUGGGGAGCAAACAGGAUUAGAUACCCGCGUAGUCCCUGUCUCUUAUAC
rnacentral:rRNA from 1 species